GGAAGCAAAAGUCGUAACAAGGUCUCCGUAGGUGAACCUGCGGAGGGAUCAUUACAGAGUUCUCGCCCCUCCGGGUAGAUCUCCCACCCACUGUGAUUGAUACUGUGUUGCUUUGGCGGGCCGCCGGGCCCUGCCCGUCCGCCGGCUCCGGCUGGCGCGCGCCCGCCAGAGGCUCCGCAAACUCUGAAUGUCAGUGUCGUCUGAGUACUAUAUAAUAGUUAAAACUUUCAACAACGGAUCUCUUGGUUCUG
rnacentral:misc_RNA from 1 species